AUGUUUGAAUAUGAAAGUCAGGGCAUUUCUUUUUACAUUAUAAGUAAGGCCUCUGCAGCCCUUAGACCUGCUGCUUUCUGAAGAACCUGCUGACAAAUGUAUUGUAGUCUGGUUCUGGUCAAGCAAAAUUAACUUUUAACACCAGUUCCUCAUACCAUGCUCCUGCCGUCACCCAGCAUGUGCCCUAUUUUAAGGUCACCACCAUUAUCAAUGGGGAGUUCAAAGACCUAAGCCUUGGUGACUUUAGGAGGAAAUACUUGGUGCUUUUCUUCUAUCCUUUGGACUGCAUCUUUUUGUGUCCUACAGAAAUUGGUGCUUUUAGUGACAAAGCCAACAAAUUUCAUAAUGUGAACUGUGAAGUUGUGGUUUCAGUGGAUUCCCACUUCAUCUGUCUUGCCUAGAUCAACACAGUAAGGAAGAAUGGUGGUUUGGGCCACAUGAACAUCGCACUCGUGUCAGAUUUGACUAAACAGAUUUCCUGAGACUAUGGCAUGCUGUUAGAAGACCUGGGUAUUGCUCUAAGAGGUCUCUUCAUCAUUGACCCCAGUGGAAUCAUCAAGCAUUUGAGUGUCAAUGAUCUCCCCGUGGGCCUAAGUGUGGAAGAGAACCCCCGCCUGGUGAAGGUGUUCCACUUUGUGGAAACCCAUGGAGAAGUCUGCCCAGCAAACUGGACCCCAGAUUCUCCUACAAUCAAGCCACAUCCAACUGCUUCCAAAGAAUACUUUGAGAAGGUAAAUCAGUAGAUCAUCCCAUGUGUACCCAUAGCUUCUCACACCAGGAAAGAGCCACAGGUGGAACUCACUUUUAGCAUUUCAAAGAUGAUUAUUUAUAGAAGACAAAACACCAAUUAUGCUUGUAUUCAUAAAUAAUACUCUAAAUGUUUUCUUUUUGUAACAUUGGCUAAGGCUUUUAAAUGUACUCACACACAUAAAGUGUCCUUUAUUGAUAACUCUUGAUGGCUAGCUAGUUUAUAGAAUGCUAGUUCACAUAUUCUUUGGAUUGUGUCUUCAAUGGGAAGAGGAAUCAUUCUUUCUUGGCCUUUCUUGAACUUUAAUGUACACCAGAGUAGUACAGCAAAGUACCAAAGCUUCUGAUCAAGGGUCCUGAAAGUUUCUUCUAGAAUUUCUUUGCACUAAACUGAAUUUUCUUUUAAGGGAACAAAGAUCAUAAUCCUACAUAGUUUUAAGGUGUUAACCUCAGUGGUCUAAUUCAACUCUUGCAAUGGUUGUAUAUGUACUUGAAACAAAUGUGAAUCAUGUUUUUAAAAAAACACGGUGGCAAAGUGACUUAAGUGAUCAUGCAUGUUUCUCAUCCCUGAGAUUAAUAUAGUUAUUUUACCUGUUAGCUGACAUAGGGUCUACAUACAAUUCUAGAUAUUGAUUGGUUGUAGUUAUAAAGGAUAUUUAUUGAAUCCAGAAAUUGCACUUUGAAAUCAUUGUAAUAAUUUUCUUUUCUGAAGUGCUCAAUGCAAAGUACAUAAUAAAACAUUUUAAAA